UACGGGGGGAGCAAGCGUUGUUCGGAUUUACUGGGCGUAAAGGGCGCGUAGGCGGCCACCGCAAGUCGACUGUGAAAUCUCCGGGCUUAACCCGGAAAGGUCAGCCGAUACUGCGGGGCUAGAGUACAGAAGGGGCAACUGGAAUUCUCGGUGUAGCGGUGAAAUGCGUAGAUAUCGAGAGGAACACCUGCGGCGAAGGCGGGUUGCUGGGCUGACACUGACGCUGAUGCGCGAAAGCUAGGGGAGCGAACGGG
rnacentral:rRNA from 1 species